CCAGCUUGCUGGUGGAUUAGUGGCGAACGGGUGAGUAACACGUGAGUAACCUGCCCUUGACUCUGGGAUAAGCCUGGGAAACUGGGUCUAAUACCGGAUAUGACCUUCCAUCGCAUGGUGGUUGGUGGAAAGCUUUUGUGGUUUUGGAUGGACUCGCGGCCUAUCAGCUUGUUGGUGAGGUAAUGGCUUACCAAGGCGACGACGGGUAGCCGGCCUGAGAGGGUGACCGGCCACACUGGGACUGAGACACGGCCCAGACUCCUACGGGAGGCAGCAGUGGGGAAUAUUGCACAAUGGGCGCAAGCCUGAUGCAGCGACGCCGCGUGAGGGAUGACGGCCUUCGGGUUGUAAACCUCUUUCAGUAGGGAAGAAGCCGCAAGGUGACGGUACCUGCAGAAGAAGCGCCGGCUAACUACGUGCCAGCAGCCGCGGUAAUACGUAGGGCGCAAGCGUUAUCCGGAAUUAUUGGGCGUAAAGAGCUCGUAGGCGGUUUGUCGCGUCUGCCGUGAAAGUCCGGGGCUCAACUCCGGAUCUGCGGUGGGUACGGGCAGACUAGAGUGAUGUAGGGGAGACUGGAAUUCCUGGUGUAGCGGUGAAAUGCGCAGAUAUCAGGAGGAACACCGAUGGCGAAGGCAGGUCUCUGGGCAUUAACUGACGCUGAGGAGCGAAAGCAUGGGGAGCGAACAGGAUUAGAUACCCUGGUAGUCCAUGCCGUAAACGUUGGGCACUAGGUGUGGGGGACAUUCCACGUUUUCCGCG
rnacentral:rRNA from 1 species